rnacentral:rRNA from 1 species
UUAAGUGACUAAGCGUACAAGGUGGAUGCCUUGGCAAUCAGAGGCGAAGAAGGACGUGCUAAUCUGCGAAAAGCUUGGAUGAGUCGAUAAGAGGCGUUUAAUCCAAGAUAUCCGAAUGGGGAAACCCAGUAGAUGAAGAAUCUACUAUCAACAAGUGAAUUCAUAGCUUGUUGAGGCAAACCGGGAGAACUGAAACAUCUAAGUACCCCGAGGAAAAGAAAUCAACCGAGAUUUCGUCAGUAGUGGCGAGCGAAAGCGAAAGAGCCAGUAAGUGAUAGCAGUAUAGUUAGGAGAAUGUGUUGGGAAGCACAAUCAAAGAGGGUGAUAAUCCCGUAUCUAAAAACCAUAUUGUGGUACUAAGCUAACGAGAAGUAGGGCGGGACACGUGAUAUCCUGUUUGAAGAAGGGGGGACCAUCCUCCAAGGCUAAAUACUCCUGAUUGACCGAUAGUGAACCAGUACUGUGAAGGAAAGGCGAAAAGAACCCCGGUGAGGGGAGUGAAAUAGAACCUGAAACCUUGUACGUACAAGCAGUGGGAGCGAGGGCAACCUUGUGACUGCGUACCUUUUGUAUAAUGGGUCAGCGACUUAUAUUUUGUAGCGAGGUUAACCGAAUAGGGGAGCCGAAGGGAAACCGAGUCUUAACUGGGCGAAUAGUUGCAAGGUAUAGACCCGAAACCCGGUGAUCUAGCCAUGGGCAGGUUGAAGGUUGGGUAACACUAACUGGAGGACCGAACCGACUAAUGUUGAAAAAUUAGCGGAUGACUUGUGGCUGGGGGUGAAAGGCCAAUCAAACCGGGAGAUAGCUGGUUCUCCCCGAAAUCUAUUUAGGUAGAGCCUUGAGGUGACACCUUUGGGGGUAGAGCACUGUUUCGGCUAGGGGGCCAUCCCGGCUUACCAACCCGAUGCAAACUACGAAUACCAAAGAGUGAUACUCAGGAGACACACGGCGGGUGCUAACGUCCGUCGUGGAGAGGGAAACAACCCAGACCGCCAGCUAAGGUCCCCAAGUCUAUAUUAAGUGGGAAACGAAGUGGGAAGGCUUAGACAGCUAGGAUGUUGGCUUAGAAGCAGCCAUCAUUUAAAGAAAGCGUAAUAGCUCACUAGUCGAGUCGGCCUGCGCGGAAGAUGUAACGGGGCUGAAAUAUAGCACCGAAGCUGCGGCAUCAGAAUUUAUUCUGUUGGGUAGGGGAGCGUUGUGUAAGCGGAAGAAGGUUCAUCGAGAGGUGGGCUGGACGUAUCACAAGUGCGAAUGCUGACAUAAGUAACGAUAAAACGGGUGAAAAACCCGUUCGCCGGAAGACCAAGGGUUCCUGUCCAACGUUAAUCGGGGCAGGGUGAGUCGGCUCCUAAGGCGAGGCUGAAAAGCGUAGUCGAUGGGAAACAGGUUAAUAUUCCUGUACUUGGUAAAGCUGCGAUGUGGGGACGGAGUAGGUUAGGUUAUCGCACUGUUGGAUAUGUGCGUUUAAGUUGGUAGGUGGGAAGUUUAGGCAAAUCCGGACUUCCUUAACACAGAGAGAUGAUGACGAGGCUCUACGGAGCUGAAGUAACUGAUACCACACUUCCAGGAAAAGCCACUAAGCGAAAGGCUUUACUAAACCGUACUGAAAACCGACACAGGUGGUCAGGUAGAGAAUACUCAGGCGCUUGAGAGAACUCGGGUGAAGGAACUAGGCAAAAUAGCACCGUAACUUCGGGAGAAGGUGCGCCGGCGUAGAUUGUAAGGGCUAGCCCCUGAAGGUUGAACCGGUCGAAGUGACCCGCUGGCUGCAACUGUUUAUUAAAAACACAGCACUCUGCAAACACGAAAGUGGACGUAUAGGGUGUGAUGCCUGCCCGGUGCUGGAAGGUUAAUUGAUGGUGUAAUCGCAAGAGAAGCACCUGAUCGAAGCCCCAGUAAACGGCGGCCGUAACUAUAACGGUCCUAAGGUAGCGAAAUUCCUUGUCGGGUAAGUUCCGACCUGCACGAAUGGCAUAAUGAUGGCCAGGCUGUCUCCACCCGAGACUCAGUGAAAUUGAAAUCGCCGUGAAGAUGCGGUGUACCCGCGGCUAGACGGAAAGACCCCGUGAACCUUUACUAUAGCUUGACACUGAACAUUGAAUUUUGAUGUGUAGGAUAGGUGGGAGACUUAGAAGUAGGAACGCCAGUUUCUAUGGAGUCAUCCUUGAAAUACCACCCUUUAACGUUUGAUGUUCUAACGAAGAUUGCGGAACGCGGUCUCGGACAGUGUCUGGUGGGUAGUUUGACUGGGGCGGUCUCCUCCCAAAGCGUAACGGAGGAGCACGAAGGUUUGCUAAUCACGGUCGGACAUCGUGAGGUUAGUGCAAUGGUAUAAGCAAGCUUAACUGCGAGACAGACAAGUCGAGCAGGUACGAAAGUAGGUCAUAGUGAUCCGGUGGUUCUGAAUGGAAGGGCCAUCGCUCAACGGAUAAAAGGUACUCCGGGGAUAACAGGCUGAUACCGCCCAAGAGUUCAUAUCGACGGCGGUGUUUGGCACCUCGAUGUCGGCUCAUCACAUCCUGGGGCUGAAGUAGGUCCCAAGGGUAUGGCUGUUCGCCAUUUAAAGUGGUACGCGAGCUGGGUUUAGAACGUCGUGAGACAGUUCGGUCCCUAUCUGCCGUGGGCGUUGGAUGAUUGAUUGGGGCUGCUCCUAGUACGAGAGGACCGGAGUGGACGCAUCACUGGUGUUCCAGUUGUCUCGCCAGAGGCAUUGCUGGGUAGCUAAAUGCGGAAGAGAUAAGUGCUGAAAGCAUCUAAGCACGAAACUUGCCAAGAGAUGAGUCAUCCCUGACUUUAAGUCAGUAAGGGUUGUUGUAGACUACGACGUAGAUAGGUCAGGUGUGUAAGUGUAGUGAUACAUUGAGCUAACAGAUACUAAUUGCCCGAGAGGCUUAACUAU